GACGGGGACCCGCACAAGCGGUGGAGCAUGCUCUUUAAUUGGCUGAUAACCCAAGAACCUUACCAGGGUUUGACAUGCAUUUAGUAGUGAACCGAAAGGGGAACGACCGGUAUCCAGUCCGGAGUUUUGCACAGGUGUUGCAUGGCUGUCGUCAGUUCGUACCGUGAGGCGUACCCUUAAGUGGGUUAACGAACGCAACCCCUACUAUCAGUUGUAUCACUCUGAUGGAACUGCCUCGGCAACGAGGAGGAAGGUGGGAUGAUGUCAAGUCAGUAUUGCUCUUACACUCUGGGCUAGAAGCAUGCUACAAUGGGGUCGACAACGCGAAGCAAAGAGGCGACUCGGAGCAAAUCGCUAAACGAUCUCUCAGUUCGGAUUGGAGUCUGCAAUUCGACUCCAUGAAGUUGGAAUCGCUAGUAAUCGGCGGUCAGCUAUACGCCGGUGAAUACGUUCUCGGGUCUU
rnacentral:rRNA from 1 species